GACGAUCGCUGGCGGCGUGCCUAAUACAUGCAAGUCGAACGCAGGGGGGACGGGUGAGUAACACGUGGGUAACCUCCCAUCAGAGGGGAUAACACUUGGAAACAGGUGCUAAACCGAUACUGAUGGAUGAACCAGCGGUGCAUUAGCUAGUUGGUGAGGUAACGGCUAACCAAGGCCACGAUGCAUAGCCGACCUGAGAAGGUGAUCGGCCACACUGGGGCUGAUGCACGGCCCAGACUCCUCCGGGAGGCAGCAGUAGGGAAGCUUCAGCAAUGGACGAAAGUCUGACCGAGCAACGCCGCGUGAGUGAAGAAGUUUUUCGGAUCGUAAAACUCUGUUGUUAGAGAAGCGGUAUCUAACCAGAAAGCCACGGCUAGCUACGUGACAGCAGCCGCAGUAAUUC
rnacentral:rRNA from 1 species